CCGGCCCGACCCGCCAUGGGGACGGGCAGCGAGAGGGGACAAAAUACCACCCGCCGCGGUUUGUCCGCCUGAGCGGGAGGGUUGGAACGCCCCCCGAAAUUUAACGAAAUCUGGCGGGGCUGACAUCAGCCCUGACGUCAUUUGGCCGUUUCCAGCCUCUGACUCAAAACGGGCAGUGGUGACGCGGUGCAAACAGUUUCUGCGCAAUCAGGGACGUCAUAAAAACCACGCCGCUUCAGGGAGAGGGUUUCACUCCCUGCUUUUGAGGGAUAUUAGUGUAAAUAAUGAGUGCAGGUGCACGAGGGGUGUAAAUCAGUAGAUACGGAGGCUCCAACCCUCAGCUGAAACUUCGGAUCAACAAGAUAAGAGCUGCCCUGCCCCGACACAGAAAAAGAAUCCAAGAAGAUGUUAGAAAACCUCAGACCAAAAGUCACCAUUGGACUAAAAGACACGUGGACAGUGCGUGAGGGGCAGGUGUAGAGAUCGCAAAGGUACCAUUGCCCAUGGAUUUCUUUGCUCGGGAUCCCUCUCUUUGGAGGCACCCAGCCCGGGGUGUCCUUGCUGCUGUACCUUCCAACUAACUUAAUUAUUUUAUGAAAUCCAACGUCUUGAGACUCUGCUGUGGGAAACCUCGGGUCGAGCCUGAAGAAGGAGGAAGGAGAGACAACGGGAUGAAAAGUUAUUACAGGCAAGGUGGACAGACACAGACUGACACUCACAUACGUACAUAUGUAUGUACUCAAGAAAACGGUACACGCUUCAUUUCCUUCGGCACACGGAACAGAAGAGAGAUGUAAAAAACGAGCCGGUUAUGUAUGAAGUGUCUGAAGCUGGGAUUGCUGCAUUUCUACAGAUGUCGUAAGACGAUUUCCAAGAAUACUUCUCAUUUUUAUUAAGGAUGAAGACCCACACUUGGAAAUACGCAAGAGAGGUCCAGAAAGUCCAAAGGCAAAAUUCUGCUUGUAGUUACAGCAGAACUGCUGCCAUUUAUUUCAGAUUAACCUACAAUCAAUUCUCUAUUACCCAUGAAAAUGGGAGGGCUGAGAUACCAUGGGCAAAGCAAAAAAAAACCCCAAAACACAUAAAUAAUGAGUCCUGAAAAGUGUAAGUAACCUGAACCAAGGCCAGAGCUCUGCGGCGGUUGAACAACUGGGAUGGAACCAUCAAGGUUGUCCCUGCAGAGGAGCAGAGGUGAGUCCCAGAAGAUGCGCCGAGCCCAGCAGCCUUCCAUCAGGAGGGUCUUCUUGAGUCAAGAAGCCCUAACCGGUCCCAGGAGCUGCACGGAUCUUUCCAUAAGACUAAAUUAAGAUUAUCUGGACUCAGAAUGACUGCAUGGAGCCAGCUUGGAUCUUCUAGCCUAAUCCAGGCAGCUCACCCGAAGGAGACCACAGCUUGACAGCAUUUCUUUAUGGCUGAUGAACAAAAUGCCAGGAGUGUUCCAGUUAUAUACUAAAAAAAGGACAAUAAAGACAACAUGGCUUAGUGUCCCACAGGUGGAUUUUUCUCAGUAAAUUCAUAUAAAAAUCAAGGAAAUUAUUGUGGGUGAAGGAAGAAAAUGCAGAAUGUGAAAAUGUCAACGUUUUUUCUAGCCUUAGUUGCCUUCCAGAUGUUAAUCGCUUUCUUAGUUCUCGUUACCUACAUGCUCAGUCUCUGACUGAGUCAUCCAUUAAGGAGGCCCAAAAUUACAGAGCACUUUCUGACUGUUCAGAAAACAAAACAAGAGGCAAACUUGUCGGCAGCAGCAACAUUUCAUUGUUUCCUAUGGAGGCGAGGCUCAACAGUGUGAAAAACACAAGGUAAAAGUAGUUUGUAAUAAUUCAGUUUAUUCUGCAGUCGAGGCAAGCUAAGAACUCGCGUGAUUAAAACAGCUUCAAGCAGUGAAUCACUGAAUUUUUGUAGCUUGGUGAUACUAGGCUGGUUCCUCAGCUCUAAACGUGUUCACAGCAGCUCACCAUUAGCUUUCCUAUUGCAGGCAGCAGAGGUGAAACUGGGACUCAUUAAACUGGGACCAGCAUUCUUCAUCUGAUCGCGGCCCAGUGAGCAACCCCGCGCGAGUUGUAUCACGUCUCUUGUGCCUCCGUUCCCCACUUCUAUAAAGCAUUUUAAAAACUAAUGGCAGGUGGUGAUACACAAAAGCCACGCAUUGUUAUUUAUGCAUGUGUAAUUUUGUGUAAUUAUUAUUAACAGCAUGCUGCUGGGUAUUCUUUUUAAGAAUUUGCUCAAUUACGUGCAUUUCAGCAAAAUUUGUUCCUCCUUCCAGUAUGAGAAAGAAUUGUAGUGACCAUCAAGCACUCCUGCUUUGUAUUAUAUUCUCUACGACCUGACGCCCUCAGAUCCCCCAUCUUAAAUAAUAUGGUUCUCAUCAAUUACAGGCACUGGUCUAAUUAAUUAAACUUUCUGGGCACUUACAGAAUAAUCUAUGUCUCACCACGC